CACACACACACACACACACACAGGUAUAUAUAUAGGUUAGUAAUAAAUUUUCAUUGCUGUUCAUUAUCUACAGAGGUUAGAUUCAGACCAAACGAAGCCGGCUGAUUGUCUCAUUAUCCGUGUCUACAAAAUUGUUUCCCUUAAACAUGACUGAUGCCAGCAAAAUUGUCAAAGAACUGCGGCAGAAUUUUUCUACUGGUUGUACACUUCCAGUGGAAUGGAGACUUCACCAGCUGUCAAAAAUUAUGAAAAUGUUGACUGAAUGUCAACAAGAAAUUGAAGACGCUCUUGUGAAAGAUUUACAUAGGCCGAAAAAUGAGGCAAUGUUUUUUGAAGUGGUUUUUGCCAGAAAGGAAGCACUAGAUGCUAUAAUCAGUCUCAAAGAAUGGAUGGAACCAGAAAAAGUUGAUCGAGGUUUAUUAAACAUAAUGGAUGACUGUUUUGUUAAACCUGAACCUUUGGGUGUUGUUUUAAUAAUGGGCGCUUGGAACUAUCCCUUCCAGCUGUGCAUCCUACCUUUGAUCGGUGCCAUAGCUGCAGGUAACUGUGCUGUGGUGAAACCGUCAGAGUUGGCACCUCAUUCUGCUGAAGUAAUAACAAGACUCCUACACAAUUAUCUGGAUUCAGACUGCAUUAAAGUCUACAAUGGAGGAAUUCCAGAAACUCAGGAACUUUUACAAGAACGAUUCGAUCAUAUAUUCUACACUGGUAGUAGUCGAGUUGGUAAAAUUAUCAUGAAAAGUGCAGCAGAACAUCUAACCCCUGUUACUUUAGAAUUGGGUGGUAAAUGCCCAGCUUAUAUUGAUGAUGAUUGUAACCUACAGAAUGUAGCAAAUCGUAUUCUUUGGGGGAAGACUGUUAACUGUGGCCAGAUAUGUAUUGCACCAGACUAUGUGAUGUGUUCAAAGGAACUACAGGGACCAUUUGUUGAAAAGUUGAUUGAAGCUUUUGAAAUGUUUUAUAGUGAUUCAAUACAUGAAACGAAGGACUAUGGACGCAUCAUUCAUAAAAAGCAUUUCCAACAUUUGAAGGAACUUGUGGGAAACCGAAAACCUGCAUUUGGUGGGGAAUUUUGUGAAGAAAGUCUACUGAUAACUCCAACGAUUCUGACUGAUAUCACCCCAGAUGAUCCUCUAAUGCAAGAAGAGAUAUUUGGUCCAAUUCUGCCAAUAAUGACUGUUGAAAAUGAAGAUGAAGCAAUUCAGUAUAUAAAGCGUGGGGAGAAGCCAUUGUCUCUGUAUGUUUUCUCAAGCAACAAAGAAACAGUAAACAAAUUUCUUUCCCAAACCACAAGUGGUGGAGUAUGCAUCAAUGAUGUCAUUGUACAUGGAGGAUUGGCAACAUUACCUUUCGGUGGAGUCGGUCAAAGUGGCAUGGGUAGUUACCAUGGCAAGUUCACGUUUGAGACAUUUAGUCACAAGAAAGCAGUCAUGUGGAAAAGUAUGGGCAUGGAAAAUGUCAACUCCUUAAGAUACCCACCAUACAGCGAUGAGAAAUGUCAACUAUUUACCUGGUUUGUCCUGAUGAGGCCUGGCCUUGCUAAGAAAUUUCUUACUGCUCUACUUGUACUGCUUGUAGCAUUAAUUCUGUCAUUUAUCUUUAUGAAAGUUUAUGGACCAUCAUACGGUAGUUUACUCCAUCAUUGGAAUGUUGCUGACAAUGACUUCAGUAGAAAUAGAUUCUUGAAACAUUCACAAGGAGCAAGCUAAAGAAAUAACAUAUUUUUGGAAUGGAAUUAUUCUGAUGGUGAAUAAUUCAAUAAAGAAGUGAUAUUAUAGACACGCUAAACUAAAAGUGGUAAUGGAAGAAACAUUAAAGAUGACAUUCAACAAAUCAUCGAAUUAAAGUUGAUUUAGGUUAACAAUUCAUUCCUCUGCAGUGGUUAAAACAAAUACCAAUAAUCAAAUGUGGAAUGUGUGGAUAAAUUAUGCUCACCUGUAAUCAACAAAUGUCUUGUAGAACAUAAAAAGUUAUGUUUUAUGAGUGAAGCAUUUAAAUAUACAUAACAAGCCUGUUUCAUCCAAAACUUAUAAUUAUAUAUAUA
rnacentral:misc_RNA from 1 species